AGGACGAACGCUGGCGGCGUGCUUAACACAUGCAAGUCGAGCGGAAAGGCCCUUCGGGGUACUCGAGCGGCGAACGGGUGAGUAACACGUGAGUAAUCUGCCCCUAGCUCUGGGAUAGCUCCGGGAAACCGGGAUUAAUACUGGAUACGACCACCUUAGACAUCUUUUGUGGUGGAAAGAAUUUCGGCUAGGGAUGAGCUCGCGGCCUAUCAGCUUGUUGGUGGGUAACGGCCUACCAAGGCGACGACGGGUAGCCGGCCUGAGAGGGCGACCGGCCACACUGGGACUGAGACACGGCCCAGACUCCUACGGGAGGCAGCAGUGGGGAAUAUUGCGCAAUGGGCGAAAGCCUGACGCAGCGACGCCGCGUGGGGGAUGAAGGCCUUCGGGUUGUAAACCCCUUUCAGCAGGGACGAAGCGAAAGUGACGGUACCUGCAGAAGAAGCGCCGGCUAACUACGCGCAGCAGCCGC
rnacentral:rRNA from 1 species